rnacentral:siRNA from 1 species
UGCAAGGGAUAAUCCGCCUCA